UACGUAGGGACCAAGCGUUGUUCGGAUUUACUGGGCGUAAAGGGCGCGUAGGCGGCGUGGUAAGUCACUUGUGAAAUCUCCGGGCUUAACUCGGAACGGUCAAGUGAUACUGUCGUGCUAGAGUACAGAAGGGGCAACUGGAAUUCUCGGUGUAGCGGUGAAAUGCGUAGAUAUCGAGAGGAACACCUGCGGCGAAGGCGGGUUGCUGGGCUGAUACUGACGCUGAGGCGCGAAAGCCAGGGGAGCGAACGGG
rnacentral:rRNA from 1 species